AUCUUCAAGAUGCUAGAGUGAUAAUAUUGUUAUUCCAAUCCCAUUCCACAUGUACUUCAUCUUUUUGAGUGCAAGAUCUAGGCCUACUCUCACUUUCGUGUCUUGCAUGUUGGUUACCAUGCCAACCCAUAUUCGGUUCGCGCUGCUCAAACUUGGAAGCAAACGCCAAACACUGAUACAAGUCAACGAAGCUAGCUAUUUGCAUAUAUUUUACAUUCGACAUGGCAUCUUGCUUAGUGCCUGACUUUCCAGCUGUUCUGGUUGCUUUGGAGCAUUUGGGCGAAUUAGACAAGCAGCUGAGGGAUGAGGGAGUUCCAUUCAGUCCUGAGGCCAGUCAUCACCUGAAAGAAAUAGCUGCUGCCAUCACUGAACUGGAGACUUCCAGAAGAGUAGUCCAUGAACAACUGGAGGUAGAAACUAUUGAAACAAGCAAACUCCGACAUCAAUGCCAGAAUAUCCAUGAUGAUGUUCAGAAUGAGAUAUCAGCUGGUGUUGCGGCUGCAAGAAAUAUAAAUGCGGGUCAAAUUACUCAACUCCAAGAUGAACUGAACAGUAUAGUGCAAGAAAUAGAAUUAAUGGAGAAAAAACAGGAAGUCCUUGAAAAGCAAAAUGCUAUUCUUUAUCCUGAGAGAGAGUUGGUAAAAGGUGACCAUGAAAAUGUCAUCAACCAAUUAAACUACCAGCUGUCAGAGAAGGCCAAUAAACAGAUUCUGCUCAAUGAAACAAUGAACGAGAUCAAAGAAGGGAAAGCCAAGAUCACAGAUGUGGAGAACACUAAAGUGGAGCUAGAGGAAGACAUGAUUCAAGAGAGGAAGAUGUUUGUUGAAACAAAUGAGAAUCUUCAGAGAGAGUGUGAGGAAGUCAUCAAUAACAUACAGGACCAGAAGAAGAACAAUGAGAAGAAACGCAGGGAGCUGGACAUUUUUUUAGCAGAACUGUUGGAUAAGGAGGACAAAGUCACAGAGCAAAAAAAACACAUUGUCCAGUUAGAGCAAAGUAUAGCCAAACUGACAGCGUCUGAAAUCCAAUACAAAGAGCAGCUGGCAGACGAGAUCAACACAUUUGAGGAACUUGUUCUUCAGAAGUAA
rnacentral:lncRNA from 1 species